rnacentral:rRNA from 1 species
CCGCGGUAAUUCCAGCUCCAAUAGCGUAUAUUAAAGUUGUUGCAGUUAAAAAGCUCGUAGUUGAAUUUCGGGAUUAAUAUGCUGGUCGUGCCAUUGGUACGUACUAGUAUUAUUGAUUUCUCCCUUCUGAUAAAUCAUGAUGUCAUUAAUUUGAUGUCAUGAGGAAUCAGGACUGUUACUUUGAAAAAAUUAGAGUGUUUAAAGCAGGCUCGCGCUUGAAUACAUUAGCAUGGAAUAAUGAAAUAGGACGUUUGAUUCUAUUUUGUUAGGUUUCUAGGAUUGACGUAAUGAUUAAUAGGGAUAGUUGGGGGCAUUAGUAUUCAAUUGUCAGAGGUGAAAUUCUUGGAUUUAUUGAAGACUAACUACUGCGAAAGCAUUUGCCAAGGAUGUUUUCAUUAAUCAAGAACGAAAGUUAGGGGGAUCGAAGACGAUCAGAUACCGUCGUAGUCUUAACCAUAAACUAUGCCGACUAGGGAUCGGAUGAUGUUAAUUAUGACUCAUUCGGCGCCUUACG